ensembl:lncRNA
CUCCAACAAUACACAAUGUGAUUAGAUUGCUACUUUUAAUAUAAUUUUAUUAUCAAACGCUUGCCUAUAAUGCAAAGAUUUUGUGGGGCCCAGCAGGCCCUAUGUUUACCUUUUAUUACAAUGCACAAAAGAUAAACUUAAUGGUCAAACGAUGGAGUACAUUGAAAUAAGUGGUAGAGUACACGUGUUUCUAUUUAUUUAUUUAUUAUUUUAAUUAUUCCCUUUAAUUUCUGAACCACACGUGGUGCAGGUGCAGAGGUUUCAUUCGAUCUCAAGUCAAUGCUUCCAAAUCUUAAAUAAAAUACCCUCAGUUGGGUCGUCUUGGUGUUGUGUUUUUCGUUGUCAAAAACGUCACUGAAACUACUUUGUAGUGUAAUUAGCAGUUUAUUGAUUAAGCAAGUGAAACGUAUAGUUACCAAUACAAUCAAUCGACUGUCUGAAAUGGAAUAUCAAACCAAGGCAAAAUAACUAUUUAGCGACAGCUGCCCCGCUGUUAAACUGCAUUUGGCUUAAUGAUUGAAGAAAAUUCAAAAUCACCUUAAAUUAAUUUUUAGUGUUUGUCCUCGAGAUUCAGACAGAUUCAGUCCUCGCGCGCGCACACACACACACACACUUUUUGCCUGACCCUGUGUCUGUAAUGUAUACAGGCCUGCACUGUGCGUUGAAACACAUACAGACAGUAAAAUGCUAAAUUAAAUAAAAGCAGUAACCAAAAAAUGUGCAAUCUCUGCAGUGAUACGAGUAGCUUAAUAAUUCAGACAGAAAAUGGAUUUAGUAAAUGGCGCUUUAGUUCACACCGUUUCUUUGAGAAGUCCUUCGCCAUGCAGCUUUGGGCAAAAGAUGGCAGUCUCAGUGAAUGAGAAACUCAGGCAUGCUCAAAGCAUUUUCCCACCAUGCUUUUAUAAUCAGCGUGACGUUUUAUUCAUCUACCAUACACAAUGAGAAAAGCAUAAAUACUAUUAUGAACAAAACAUCAUGAAAAGUCUUGCAGUCAACGAAUUUCGUUUGGGAAAUUGUUGAAAAUAUAACUUUAGUAAACAACAUUCAUUCAUAUAACCGUUGCAGUGCUACACAGACUACGCACUGUUCUUUUCAGUGAAAAUAGACAAAAUUAAAUUUCCCAGACGAAUAUGUUCAAGGAUGCGAAUGUAUCAAACAGAAGUGUUAGGAUAAUUCUUUUAUUUCAGUGCGUUUAUCUAGGGAACGUUAUUGGAAAGUAAAUGUGAAUAACAGGUAAAAAUAAUCGUCCCUGUAUCAUAUAAUGUGCUUCUUACCUUUAGCGAAACUUUACGAAAAUGAAUAGCCUAUUUAGUGUAGCUACAGUAAGCAGAAAGCAUGGCCUGUGUGUCCUCCAGAACGAAGAUGUUGAAUCUCCAGCAACAGAUGUCCAGGCACAAUUCUUGGAUUUAAAUUAUAUUGAACAAGAAUUGCGUUUGGACAAUCAGUCUCUGGGACCCUUUGAAAAGCUUAUUUUUCAACUCCAUGGAAAUAUAGUCUAUGUGUUAACCAAAUACAAACUGAAAUCUCACACUGUGUCCCUGUGGCUGUUGGGCCUAUUAGCCUUGAAGAUUUUCACACAAAAUGUUAUUCUUUUAUAAACCUGUUUAAACACUUACGUUCCUCAUUUCUCAUUAUUUUAAUGCCUGCAUUUUACUUUAAAAUGCAAAAGUGUAUCGCGUUGUUUGCUGUAAUGAAAUAAACAGAAAACUGAUGGUAGUUUAUAGCUCUGGCACGUAUAUUUUACCUCAGAAUUAACGAAUAAGAUUUCUGUUUUCUUACUUUUAAACAAAAAGUUGCAACCGUUCUUUCAAAAAAAUAAGUCAGAUAUUCCUAAACGGGUUUUAACUUAUAAACCACAAACUUCAUUUUAAUCGAAUCCAGAGUAAAAAAAAAAAAAACCUGACCCCUAACAUAUUUUCCUUUCAGAAAGCUUUUCCUUUAAGAAGAGGGUUAAAAGUUUGACGCGCGUUCAGUGAGCUUGUUAAAAUCGGAAUAAACUAAACCUCAGCUCACCACAUAAAAAGAAACACUUUUGAAAAAAAAAAAAUAUAUAGAGAGAGAAAUCAAAUAAAAUGAGCUAAGGAGCAGUUUCGUAAAGUCCUGCUUGUUAAAGAAGCAGCCCUUCGCCAUUUCUGCACCUGUAAGGGCGCACAUCCUUGUAGUUCCACCUCUCGACGUCAGGCACAGGAAUAUCAUCUGAUACCAGCAAAACCCGAAAAACUACCAAAAACCAUUUCCAGUCGAGCCAUUUCGAUACUUUUGUUGCCCGUGGUGUGGUGGUGUUAGAGCAAAGCCUCUUCUCUCAACGCAGUGCUGAUGAAAAUGCGCGGAAGCCUGUGUCCUGCGCGCGCGAGCGCUGUAUCCUCACUAACGCAAGCGGAGAAAAUGGUCAAAUGCAAGAAGGAGGGCUGCGUUGGGUCGCUCGAAGAUCCCUCACGCCCUCAGUAAUGCCUUGAUGGGACGGUUCUUAUGGAAUGGCACGGACUAACGCGUUCCUAUGAAGGCUUUUCUCAGGCUCCCGUAACAAUACCGGUGUUGCCACGACGGACGGCGAGAGGGAGUGGGGAUGAUCUUCGCUUGGUACUGAAUUUGAAUAACACCAUGGGGUGAUAAAUGUCCA